ACCCAGGAGCCCAGGAAGAUACAUUCUAAAAAAAAAAGUAUUUCCAACUUACAGAAAAGUUGCAACAAUAGUACAAAAAAUUUCCAUACACCCCUCACUCAGAGAUCCCAUUCAAGUUUCACCACCUGUCUCAACAUCUUUCCUGGCAGAAGGGUCCAAACCAGGAGCACAAACUGUAUUUUAGUUUCUUGUUCUCUUGAACCGAGCACAAUUCCUCAGUCCUCCCUUGCCUUGACCUUUACGAUCUUCGUAUUUUUGAGGACUGCAGGAAAGUUAUUUUAUACAGUGUGCCUCCACUGGGAUCUGUCUGUGGAGUAUUGCUGAAACAAUGCCGUUCUUCACGCUGCAGCCUUGGUAAACUUGGUAAUGCCAAAUUCUAGGUAUGGCCCCUCACCGAUGAGGUUAACUUUGUUCAUCUGGGUAAGGUUGCCAGGUUUCUUCACUCUAAAGCUACCAAUACAUACUUUCGCCAAGAGACCUCAGAGAUGGAAUAUUAAGCUGACUGCAACCUAUCUACUAGUUUAAUUAAUUGUUCAAUGCAGGGCUAUCACAUUCUAGAUGCCAGAAAUCAUUCAGGAAACCCUAGAGAAGAAAGAAAAAGAGUAUUUUCUUACUCACAAGGAAACAUAACUACAAAUUAGUUCCCAAUUUAGUGGCUUCCAAGUUUGAGAUUACAUUUAUUACCCACGUACAUUUGACCCCUAAGGAAUGCAAGGGUUCAGGGCAUCACCCCCAUGCAGUCAAAAAUCCACGUAUAACUUUUGACUCCCCCAAAACUUAACGACUAAUAGCCCACUGUUGACCAAAAGCCUUACCAAUAACAUACGAAUAGUUCAUUAACACAUAUUGUGCAUGUGACAUGUAUUACAUAUUGUAUUCUUACAAUAAAAUAACCUAGAGAAAAGAAAAUGUUAUUCAGAGAAUCAUAAGAGAAAAAUACAUACACAGUACUGGAGUGUAAAAAACCCACAUAUAUGUGGACCUGUGCAGUUCAAACCAAUGUGUUCAAAGUUCAACUAUUUUGUUUUCCUCUGCUCUAAAGAAUUAUCUCUA